GCGCCUGUGGCUCAAAGGAGUAGGGCGCUGGCCCCAUAUGCCAGAGGUGGCGGGUUCAAACCCAGCCCUGGCCA
rfam:Otolemur garnettii contig126345, whole genome shotgun sequence.